rnacentral:lncRNA from 1 species
GUCAUUUGUUCUUCCGCCAGCGCCCAUCGUGAAGACCACAGUUUCCUGUCGCGUGGAUGUGUUUCCUCUCUGGCCAUUGCCAUCCGCCCAAAUCUACAGACAUCCCGCAUGUUCCCGGGCUCGUCUCCCCAAUACAGGGCACCAAGGCUGUAGACUGCGCAGCCCUCCUGGAGACAGAUGGAAGCUCCUUGGGUCGACAGAUUACAGCUUCUGGAACCCCCUACUCCCUUCAACUCCGAGAUGGACACCCACUGUCCAGGGAGAGGAUGCCUGGAAAUAACAGCUGGGAUCUACAGUGGCCAAAGAGUUGUCUCCGUCUUGCUACAUCGACAAACUGGUGCUCCUGAGUGAGGAUUGUGCCCUGGGAUGGGGGAUUCAGUUUCUUCAUUUAUAGUUGGAAGUGGGUGAAGUGCCAGGAGCGACGGUACACUCCAGAGUGCUGUGCCCUGAUGGGCCUUUGAGUGGCCAGUGCAGUGGAUCAUCAGCCCUGUCUCCCAAGAGCUCCAGUCCCUUCUCCGGAGAGGAAGUGGGUCCACUGGCAGCUCAGGAGGCCAUAGCAGAUUGUGGGGCUCUGUGCAGUUGAUGUUAGUUAACCACUGGAUCCACGUGUUCACCGUGGCUUGCGCCCCUGCAUCCGAAAGUGAUCUUGGCUGCCGUGUCCUGGUCAUUGGUAGUGCAGGGAAAGGAUGCGGAAAGACGGGCUCCGAGCUCGGGGCGUCUGGCCUGGAGCUUUCCUACACUUGUGUCUUGCUCUGCAGCCUUACGGAAGUGUGGGUGGCGCUUUCUGGAAGCUGCACAAGUCAGUGCUGGGUCUUCGCAACUUGGUGUUCUGUUUCCAGAAACUUGGGGUGUUUGCAUGUGCUAGGUCAGCACAGAUUUCCAAAGGAUCUCUAGGAUUGUCACGUGUGCUCAACAGUCCUCCUCGGCUUUCCAGAAGAGGCUGGAACAGGGCCCUUGAAGAUGUUUGUGGACAUCAGAGGGCCAAAGACGACACAAAGUGAAACUGGAGACACCGCCCCCCCUUGGCAUCAUGAAACUGCCGAUGUUACUGGCUCAUGCAUGGGAGACACCAGCAUACAAAGUCUUGACACCAACACCUCAGAGGGCUGUGUUCUGUCCCCGUGACCAUCAUCUAGUGCCUGGAAAGACUAGUGACAAGAACUUGUUGCCAACUUCCUAUUACCUCCCUAACAGUUGUGCAAUAAACCCCAUAGGUUAAUUCAGUCUGCCUUUUAAA